ensembl:lncRNA
UUUUUUUUUUUUUUUUUUUUUUUUUUUUGCUUUUUAGGGCCACACCUGCUGCAGCAUAUGGAAGUUCCCAGGCUAGGGGUCCAAUUGGAGCUAUAGCUGCCGGCCUAUGUCACAGCCACAAGAAUGCAGGAUAUGAGCUGCGUCUGCGACCUACACCACAGCUCAUGGCAGCACCGGAUCCUUAACCCACCAAGCGAGGCCAGGGAUCGAACCUGCAUCCUCAUGGACGCUAGUUGGAUUCGUUAACCGCUGAGCCACAACGGGAACUCCUAAAUCUUUCCCCUUUUGCAUCUCUCCCAUCAGCUAGAUCCUAUUACCUCCUCCAGCUUUCAUUAAUUCAUUACUUCAAUGCCUACUUAUUCAGCACCUGCUGGGUGCAGCAGUGAAACUACUCUGGCAGAGUUUACGUUCUAGUUAAGGAAGACAGAUAAUGAACAAGCAAACAUGUCCCCAUGUCAAUGGCAAUCAGUCCUAAGUAAGGAGAAAAACCAGGCAGUGCACAGAGGUUGAAAGGUGCUGGGGUGGGAAGGAGGCGUUUGCCCUUCUAUAAUGGGCGGUCAAGGGGCUUCAUGGAAAAGUGACCCUUAAGGGCAGAUGUGAAGGACUGGAGGGAUUGGGCUUUGGGGGAAGAGGGUUUCCAGAAGGAACAGGGAUUGCAAAGAUGCCAGAGUCUAUUAGAGGAACAAUGAGAAGGGCAGUGUGGCUGGAGUGAAAGGUCAAGGAGGCAUGGCAGGUGAGGCCAGAGAGAGAGAAAAGUGGGCCAGUAGCAAGAAAUCAGGACAGCGACACGGGAAGGAGAGCAUGAGGGCCUUCUGCUGUAACAGCUUUGGUUUCUACUCUAAGUGAGCUAGAAAGUUACUGCAGGGUUGUCAGCAGAUCUAACUUGAUCAUUCUGGUUAAGGUGCUAAGACUAGACUGGGGGUGGGAGGACAAGAUCAGAGGCAGGAAGACCCAUUAGGAGACACUGCAGGCAUCUGGGUGCAAGUUGAUGGAAACAGGGGAAGGGAUGUAAUAUCGUUAGAUUCUAGUGAUAUUGAGAAGGUAGAGCCAAUGGGGUUUGCUAAUGGCCUGAUGUAGGAUGGGAGGCAAAGAUAGAAAUCAAGGAUGACUUCAAGGUUUUGGCCUGAGUCACUAUACCUGAAAAUUCAGCCAUCACAAAACUUCACCACAAAGUCUUCAUCCUCCUCUGCCAGCCUGAUUUCUCAGGCCUCCCACCCAAGCAUACACCACCUUCAGGCGCCGGCAGUUUGUGCCUUUGGUUUCUCCUUCCCUCUUCAAUUCCUUUUACUCCACGACCCUUGAAAAAACCUAACAUGUCAUCUGUAAAAUAUCUUUUCAGCCUACCCCUAUACUUUUCUGCUCAUGCUUCAGUUAUCGCAUUCCUCAACUAGCACAGGGCUUACUUUCUGCUUUUUCAGUUCCUUUUUCUGCCUUUUCCCUCUUCUUUCCCUCUCACUGUGCUC